rnacentral:rRNA from 1 species
UCAGUCGACUCCUACGGGGGAGGCAGCAGUGGGGAAUAUUGCACAAUGGGGGAAACCCUGAUGCAGCCAUGCCGCGUGUGUGAAGAAGGCCUUCGGGUUGUAAAGCACUUUCAGUAGGGAGGAAGGUAGUGUAGUUAACACCUGCAUUAUUUGACGUUACCUACAGAAGAAGCACCGGCUAACUCCGUGCCAGCAGCCGCGGUAAUACGGAGGGUGCGAGCGUUAAUCGGAAUUACUGGGCGUAAAGCGCAUGCAGGCGGCCUGUUAAGUCAGAUGUGAAAGACCCGGGGCUUAACCUCGGAAUUGCAUUUGAAACUGGCAGGCUAGAGUCUUGUAGAGGGGGGUAGGAAUUUCAGGUGUAGCGGUGAAAUGCGUAGAGAUCUGAAGGAAUACCAGUGGCGAAGGCGGCCCCCUGGACAAAGACUGACGCUCAGAUGCGAAAGCGUGGGGAGCAAACAGGAUUAGAUACCCUGGUAG